UACGUAGGGGGCUAGCGUUGUCCGGAUUUAUUGGGCGUAAAGAGCGUGUAGGCGGCCAGGUAGGUCUGCUGUGAAAACUCGAGGCUCAACCUCGAGACGUCGGCGGAAACCAUCUGGCUAGAGUCCGGAAGAGGAGAGUGGAAUUCCUGGUGUAGCGGUGAAAUGCGCAGAUAUCAGGAAGAACACCCGUGGCGAAGGCGGCUCUCUGGGACGGUACUGUCGCUGAGACGCGAAAGCGUGGGGAGCGAACAGG
rnacentral:rRNA from 1 species